CAAUCCCAUAAACCGUGGCUCAGUUCAGAUCGUAGGCUGCAACUCGCCUACGUGAAGGAGGAAUCGCUAGUAAUCGCAGGUCAGCAUACUGCGGUGAAUACGUUCCCGGGCCUUGUACACACCGCCCGUCACACCAUGGAAGUUGGCCACGCCCGAAGCCGUUACUCCAACCCUUGUGGAGGAGGACGUCGAAGGUGGGGCUGAUGACUGGGGUGAAGUCGUAACAAGGUAUCCGUACCGGAAGGUGCGGAUGGAUCACCUCCUAACAGGGAGACAACACAAUGAUUUUGAUGCCUGAGUGCUUUUAUUCUUAGGCCGAAAUCCUGUCACCUUAGGUCGAUCGGUACCUCAGCUUUGAAGUCAAGAAUCAGCAGCAAUGUUGAUUGUUUGAUGGAGAUUUUCAGUUCCUAAACUUUGUCUAGGUCACACCCCAAAAGGGAUGAGACUCCUGGGCCAUUAGCUCAGGUGGUUAGAGCGCACCCCUGAUAAGGGUGAGGUCCCUGGUUCAAGUCCAGGAUGGCCCAUUCGGUGUUGGGGGUUUAGCUCAGUUGGUAGGGCGCCUGCUUUGCAAGCAGGAUGUCAGGAGUUCGAGUCUCCUAACCUCCACUGACCGAACUUUUUCCCCAUCUCCAAAUCGUUGGAGUUGAGCUCGAUUGGCGUGUGAUUUAGAUGUGUCCGCUGGAUGACCCCAGCUUCCUGUCAUUCCAAGUUUUAAGUUGAAAGCUUUGAAUUUGGUUGAUAAGAUGCUGG
rnacentral:misc_RNA from 1 species